CGAAGCUGGAAUCGCUAGUAAUCGCGGAUCAGANGCCGCGGUGAAUACGUUCCCGGGUCUUGUACACACCGCCCGUCACACCAUGGGAGCCGGGAAUGCCCGAAGUCAGCGGCCCAACCGCAAGGAGGGAGCUGCCGAAGGCAGGUCUGGUGACUGGGGUGAAGUCGUAACAAGGUAGC
rnacentral:rRNA from 1 species